AUCAUAUUUCCCUCCUCCUUUUUUCACUUUCUUUUGAACUACCCUCUCAAAUUUUCCUUCGCCCAAACGAAAACCCCUUAAGAGUAAAGACAAAAAGCCCCAAAUCCUGAUUUCUUUCUAAUCGUCGUCGAUCUCUCACCGGCAUCUUCACUGAUUGUCGAUCGCUCACCGUCCGUCGCAGAGUUGUUUGACAGCAUGAAGUACAGAGUUUUUGAGCGAAAAUCCAGAAGUACUGAAUGUCAAUCCAUCCGUGGUUUAUACAAGUCCUCGAAACCGGUGUGUGUCAGUAGACUAAACAAGUAGAAGAUCUAAAGCAAAACCCCAAAUUGGUUGUUCCAAUAAGAGGAUAAUCUGGUUAGUAUUGACAAUUUCUCUUGCGUGGGCUAAAUUACUUCUCUCUCUCUCUCUCUCUCUCUCUGCGUUCGUUUUUUUGAACACACUCCAGGUGUUUGAUUAAAUGUUGAUGUUGCUACUAAGUAUAUCAUAUCUGAAGCUCAACAGAAAAAUAUGGAGAAUUUUUGAUUGGAUUCCUAGAUUCUGGUAAUUGGUUGUUUGCAGUUCUGAUUUUAGAAUGUGCCAAGGAAUGCUUACCUAUUUCCAAUCUCUAUAGAACAACGUGCAUUUGGAAUGUAGUAUUUCGGGAAUCAAUUAUAAUACAUCUGAUACAGAAUUAUAUUUUUUUGGAAGUGCUUAGUUGUAGUAAACUCACACGUGCAAACCAAUGUGGAAAAGACAUGUGGAAACUAAUAGAUCUUAAUGUGUUAAUUAGCCUCACAGUUUGUUGAGCUUGGAUGUGUGUCCUUACUAUAAGUUUUUCAUCAUUUCUAAACAAGUACUUCAAUUGCCUACUAAGUGUUUGAUAAAAUGUGCCAACUACAAUAGCCUUAUGGUUUCGUUCAUUUUUUUGUGUAAUUAUUUUGCAGAAUCUUCGGUAGAAUCGGUCUCUCACUUUAAGCCAAUUUCUACCAAAAUCUUAUGAACUCGAGGCAACGAGGUGCACAAAAGUGAAAUGGAAGAAAAGCGAAGGUCGCAUCGGAAGGUUAGAGUACAUCGAAUCGUGAUGCUUCAGAUCCAUUGCUCAACAAUCGAUGGUGAUCAUUUGGUGGAUGAAGAUACAAUGUAGUAGGAGAUAUGAGAUGAACGAUGUUUUGGAGGGACAAAGCUGCCUUUUGUCUUAUGUAUUGGUACUACUAGAUGGAAAAAUGAUGUCUUUAGUUUUUGGUAUAUGGUAGUACACAUUAUAUAUAGUCAUUGGAUUGUGGUUCUUGCUUUUGAUGCUUGAUGUUAUGUUCAAGGGGUUUUUGGCUUUUGUUUUGGGUAUUGAAGAAGAUUAAGGUUAAGAUAUCGUGUUUUGACUUAUUUUAACUAGUUUAAGUUAAUUUUAUUUUAUUGCCUUUGA